GUAGGGAAUAUUGGGCAAUGGACGAAAGUCUGAACCAGCCAUUCCGCGUGCAGGAAGAAGAUUCUAUGGAUUGUAAACUGCUUUUAGCAGAGAAGAAACGCCUUCAUUGAUGAGGGUUUGACGGUAUCUGCGGAAUAAGCACCGGCUAACUCCGUGCCAGCAGCCGCGGUAAUACGGGGGGUGCAAGCGUUAUCCGGAAUCACUGGGUUUAAAGGGUGCGUAGGCGGGAAAUUAAGUCAGUGGUGAAAGUCUGUUGCUUAACGAUAGAAUUGCCGUUGAUACUGAUUUUCUUGAAUUGGGUUGAGGUUAGCGGAAUGUGACAUGUAGCGGUGAAAUGCAUAGAUAUGUCAUGGAACACCAAUUGCGAAGGCAGCUAGCUGGGCCUUGAUUGACGCUGAGGCACGAAAGCGUGGGUAGCGAACAGGAUUAGAUACCCCUGUAGUCC
rnacentral:rRNA from 1 species